AUUGAACGCUGGCGGCAUGCUUUACACAUGCAAGUCGGACGAGUGGCGAACGGGUGAGUAAUAUAUCGGAACGUACCGAGUAAUGGGGGAUAACUAAUCGAAAGAUUAGCUAAUACCGCAUAUUAUUCGAGCGGCCGAUAUCUGAUUAGCUUGUUGGUGGGGUAAAGGCCUACCAAGGCUACGAUCAGUAGCGGGUCUGAGAGGAUGAUCCGCCACACUGGGACUGAGAAACGGCCCAGACUCCUACGGGAGGCAGGAGUGGGGAAUUUUGGACAAUGGGCGCAAGCCUGAUCCAGCCAUGCCGCGGGUCUGAAGAAGGCCUUCGGGUUGGAAAGGACUUUUGUCAGGGAAGCGGUACCUGAAGAAUGAGCACCGGCUAACUACGUGCCAGCAGCCGCGGUAAUUC
rnacentral:rRNA from 1 species